UCGACUAAUUUGUGAUUGAAAGGUUUCACCCGCACACAUCACCUUUAUAAAGGCACUAACUGCACUAAUUUCCUUGAGGAGACUGCAAAGCGCUUUCAACCCUGAAGGACACUGAAAGAAAUAUUCAGUCAGAGUGCAGUGAUGAUUGUCUGGGUGGCUCAUCAGUGUCCUAGAUGCUUGACUGUGUGGGCACUGAAGUCAUUUUCAUUUGUUAUGCAGGGUCCACAGCUGCUUAUUGAGUGAAUAAAGUAGGAGGUGCAUGAAGAAAGAAAAUCAGAGUCAAUCAAAGGCUUAUAAACAGAUUAACAUGAAAAUCUGAUGGUUGACAGAGAAGAAGUUCUGGGGGUUGCCAGCAGUGAUGCGGUAGCUCAGACGGCUGGGAGUGGCGGUGAGGUCGGGGUCCUGCGCCUGGAUGCGGAUGACCGACACGUCUUUGGGGGAGUUCUCCAUUAUGACCGGAUGGUAGAUAGGAUCCGAGGGAGUCGGGACGGUUCCGCCGCUGAAUGAGGAGCACCUGUGCCUGAUUAAUCUCCCUCUUGUUCCUUGUGAUAAAGAGGCCGCGAGUAAAGCAGCCGCUCACCUGAAUGCAGCCAGGCCUGAACUAGCGGCUUGUGUUUUCACACACUGCUGCACUGAGAGGGGGUCGUACC